CGAGGCUUUGUCACGUGAUCAGGGCUGAGGCGUCCACUUCCGCGUCCAGGAUCAUCCCCAAAACCUCAAACACACGCUCCAGACGCACAGACCCGAGCGGACCCGAGCGGACCCGAGCCAUGUCUCUGUGGAGCGCGCGCCUCCUCCUGCUGCUGUUUUAUGUGCACCGAGCUGCUCUGGGACAGGAGACUGUGGACGUUACUACAGACAAACCGUCCGUGUUCCUUCGCGCCUCCUCGCGGCCUCUGGUCAGUGCCCCGUCCGUGCUGUGGACUCGAGGGCCAAAUGAGGAGGUCCACCAAAGAGUGUCCGAAGGCGACGACACCCGGGCCCAGAGCUCGCUGUUCAGAGGACGCACGCAGAUGAGGUCAGAUGCCCUGCAGACCGGAGACUUGACUCUGGAGCUGAAGAGCCCCGGCCUCAACGACUCGGGCGUCUACACCUGCGUGGCCAAAGAGGGCACCAGAGAGGUCGCACGUGCCACUGUGGAGCUCCGGGUCAAAGCUUCCUCUUUCUUCUCAGAGCCUCCUCCUUCUCCUUCUCCCGCCGAUAUCACCGGCAUCAUCGUCGGAGUGGUGCUCGGUAGCGCCGCCCUCCUGGUGGGCGUUCUCUCUGCGCUGACGGUCAAAAGAAAGAAGCAAACUAAAGAGAACUUCAAAGACUCGCUCAUCGGACUCGUCACCUGCCGUCCCGCCGCUGUCCUGUAGGGGGCGCCGUGCUCUGCUGCAGUUUAUUUACAGAGAAGACCAUGAACUUUGUGCCUGUGUUUGUUUCCUCUGGACAGGCCCGGUGAUUAUCUGUGUUUGAACGUCCAGCUCUGGUCCAAGGCCUGUGGGAGGGCAUCUGGUUUAAAGGGAGUUUUUUUGGGGGAGUUGUAGUUCCUUUUUUCACUGAAGCACUUUGUGUCUUCUCCCACCAGAGGGCGCCAACACCCUGCAGAAUUUCAUAGGAGGGAAUUUAGGAAAUAAUUUAGACAAUUUUUUUAAGUAACUGGACUAAAAGACGCCAACAAUAAGAAAAUAAUAAUAGGACCAGAAUGUUUUUGUUUUUUUUUUUAUUUAAAGAGGGGGUGUUAUGCAAAAUGUUCUUUUUUUUAACCGUUCUCCCAUGUUCUAAUACUUUUAACACCACAGGAGUCAAAUACUCCCUCUUUAUUUUAUUUUUUUAAACCAAGGAAGUGUUUGAAUAUUUAUUCUGCAUCUGCAAAUUUAAUAGAAAUAAUUUGAUUUUUCUGCACCUGGUCUGGACUAAACCGGGACUAAAAUGGGACUAAAAUGGGACUAAAAUGGGACUAAAAUGGGACUAAAAUGGGACUAAAAUGGGACUAAACCGGGACUAAAAUGGGACUAAAC
ensembl:lncRNA